UACGGAGGGGGCUAGCGUUGUUCGGAAUUACUGGGCGUAAAGCGUGUGCAGACGGAGCAGCAAGUGGUGUAUGAAAUCGCGGUGCUUAACACAGCGAGGUUAUGCCAGACUGCUGGACUAGAGUGCGAGAGAGGGAGAUGGAAUUCCGGGUGUAGUGGUGAAAUGCGUAGAGAUCCGGAGGAACCCCAGAGGCGAAAGCGGUCUCCUGGCUCGCAACUGACGUUCAGACACGACAGCAUGGGGAGCGAACGGG
rnacentral:rRNA from 1 species